rnacentral:rRNA from 1 species
GACGAACGCUGGCGGCGUGCUUAACACAUGCAAGUCGAACGGAAAGGCUCCAGCUUGCUGGAGUACUCGAGUGGCGAACGGGUGAGUAACACGUGGGUAAUCUGCCCUGCACUCUGGGAUAAGCCUGGGAAACUGGGUCUAAUACUGGAUAUGACCUUUCUCCUUAUGGGGUAUGGUGGAAAGUUUUUCGGUGUAGGAUGAGCCCGCGGCCUAUCAGCUUGUUGGUGGGGUGAUGGCCUACCAAGGCGACGACGGGUAGCCGGCCUGAGAGGGUGAUCGGCCACAUUGGGACUGAGAUACGGCCCAGACUCCUACGGGAGGCAGCAGUGGGGAAUAUUGCACAAUGGGCGGAAGCCUGAUGCAGCGACGCCGCGUGAGGGAUGACGGCCUUCGGGUUGUAAACCUCUUUCAGCAGGGACGAAGCGUAAGUGACGGUACCUGCAGAAGAAGCACCGGCUAACUAUGUG